AGUGGCGGACGGGUGAGUAACGCGUGAGCAACCUGUCCCAGACAGGGGGAUAACACUUGGAAACAGGUGCUAAUACCGCAUAAGACCACGGGGUCACAUGGCUCUGGGGGUAAAAAGGAGCAAUCCGGUUUGGGGUGGGCUCGCGUCCGAUUAGAUAGUUGGUGAGGUAACGGCCCACCAAGUCGACGAUCGGUAGCCGACCUGAGAGGGUGAUCGGCCACAUUGGGAACUGAGAGACGGUCCAAACUCCUACGGGAGGCAGCAGUGGGGAAUAUUGGGCAAUGGGCGAAAAAGCCUGACCCAGCAACGCCGCGUGAGUGAAGAAGGCCUUCGGGUUGUAAAGCUCUGUUAUAGGGGACGAAGGAAGUGACGGUACCCUAUAAGGAAGCCCCGGCUAACUACGUGCCAGCCGCCGC
rnacentral:rRNA from 1 species